GACAGAGGGUGCAACCGUUGUUCGGAUUUACUGGGCAUAAAGCGUGUGUAGGCGGCUUCGCAAGUUGGAUGUGAAAUCCCACGGCUCAACCGUGGACGUGCAUCCAAAACUGCGUCGCUAGAGUCUCGGAGAGGAAGGUGGAAUGCUUGGUGUAGAGGUGAAAUUCGUAGAUAUCAAGCAGAACACCUGCGGCGAAGGCGGCCUUCUGGACGAUGACUGACGCUGAGACACGAAAGCGUGGGGAGCAAACAGG
rnacentral:rRNA from 1 species